CCUUUUUUGUAAUUCAUUAAGAAUUUUUUGUAAUGUCUGUGCAUAAAUACACGCGCGCACACAAAGUUAACACAUAUAUGUAUAUAUAUUAUAUAUAUACAUUUACACUGCAAUCUUUUUUCAGCCAGAACAUCAUUAAAGAGGUUUGAACGCAAGUAAGUACACUCUCUCUCGCGCAAUGUUGGCAGACGAAGCUCACAAACACACACAUACUAGAAAAACCAGUAGUUCGAGUACUGGCUGACAUCAGUCAGUGGCGAAACUUCUUUCUUCUGUGAGGUAUUAAACUUAUAACUUGCAGCAGCAUUGAAUCACAUACCUACAUAUCAAUUACUCGUGCCUAUACACAGAUAUAAUAUAUACAUAUGUAUGUAUAUUUAUUUCAAAUUUAUAAAUGCCUACUUUGUCAACCUACGCCCAACACGAGAUGAUAUUACUGCGUGUGUAACUGCAACAAACUUAACGUAUUUAAAGCCUACGGUGAACUGAACUAAAAAUGCGAAUCGUAUCUUGUUCAUGCCAUUUGCCAUUCGCCGUGGUGCGAGCACCUAUGUUUUGGGCUGUGAGUGUAUGUUUUCUAUCUCUGUGCUCUCACCGUGGCUGUUUAAUUCAGCUAUCCGCUGUUUUUUGUACAAGUGAAUUAACAGCAUAGAAACAGAGAAUGGGACACUUGGAGAAGUAGCAUCACAGGAUGUUUGAAAAAACAACUGCGAAUGUUAAAAUAUGCAAGUAAAAUUCGAAAUUACAGAAAUUAAGUAUUUACAGUCACGGAACUGCAGCUGUUAAAUAAAAUUAAAAUACUAAAAA
rnacentral:lncRNA from 1 species